rnacentral:rRNA from 1 species
UACAGAGGUCCCAAGCGUUGUUCGGAUUCACUGGGCGUAAAGGGUGCGCAGGUGGGUUUGCAAGUUCGAUGUGAAAGCCCCGGGCUUAACCCGGGAAUGGCAUUGGAUACUGCAGAUCUGGAGGAUCGGAGGGGGGACUGGAAUUCUUGGUGUAGCAGUGAAAUGCGUAGAUAUCAAAGAGGAACACCAGUGGCGAAGGCGAGUCCCUGGACGAUACCUGACACUGAGGCACGAAAGCUAGGGGAGCAAACGGG